GUUUCCGUGGUGUAGUUGUUAUCACGUGCACCUCACACGCGCAAGGUCCCCGGUUCGAUCACGGGUGGAAACA
rnacentral:tRNA from 1 species